rnacentral:rRNA from 2 species
UGCAGAAUCCCGUGAACCAUCGAGUCUUUGAACGCAAGUUGCGCCCAAAGCCAUUAGGCUGAGGGCACGCCUGCCUGGGUGUCACACAUCGUCACCCCUUCCUCCACACUUAACCAGUUAAAUGUGAGGCAGUGGGUGAAAGUUGACCUCCCGCGAGCCAGUUCCUCGUGGUUGGUUGAAAAGCAAGUUCGGGGCGGAGUCCCCCACGAUAACGGUGGAUGAGCCCACGCUCGAGACCAAUCGUGCCUGUGGGACUCCGACGUAACGGACUUAUCGACCCCACACGCGCCCUCUGUGCAAACCGAGUGUGCCAUCUACGAGACCUCAGGUCAGGCGGGGCUACCCGCUGAGUUUAA